rnacentral:rRNA from 1 species
UACGGGAGAAAGGGGGGCAGCUUAGCUGCUCUCGCUAUUAGAUGAGCCUAAGUCGGAUUAGCUAGAUGGUGGGGUAAAGGCCUACCAUGGCGACGAUCUGUAACUGGUCAGAGAGGAUAAUCAGCCACACCGGGACUGAGACACGGCCCGGACUCCUACGGGAGGCAGCAGUGGGGAAUAUUGGACAAUGGGGGCAACCCUGAUCCAGCCAUGCCGCGUGUGUGAAGAAGGCCUUUUGGUUGUAAAGCACUUUAAGCAGUGAAGAAGACUCCAUGGUUAAUACCCAUGGACGAUGACAUU